GUGACCUGGAGAAUAUCUGCUCACUCUAGGACGCCAGCUCCAUGCCUGGCACAGUCUUCUACGUAUUUGAACAGGAAAAGGUGAAGCAGGGAGAGUUACUGCAGGACAUCAGUAUCCAAUUAAGGCACCAUAAUCAUAUCUGGAGUCACCAGACAAGCCACAGAUGAGGAAACUGAGAUUCAGGGAGGUCAAGUAACAUGCUCA